rnacentral:rRNA from 1 species
GAUGAACGCUGGCGGCGUGCCUAAUACAUGCAAGUCGAGCGAACAGACGAGGAGCUUGCUCCUCUGACGUUAGCGGCGGACGGGUGAGUAACACGUGGAUAACCUACCUAUAAGACUGGGAUAACUUCGGGAAACCGGAGCUAAUACCGGAUAAUAUAUUUAACCGCAUGGUUCAAUAGUGAAAGACGGUUUUGCUGUCCCUUAUAGAUGGAUCCGCGCCGCAUUAGCUAGUUGGUAAGGUAACGGCUUACCAAGGGAACGAUGCGUAGCCGACCUGAGAGGGGGAUCGGCCACACGGGAACUGAGACACGGUCCAGACUCCUACGGGAGGCAGCAGUAGGGAAUCUUCCGCAAUGGGCGAAAGCCUGACGGAGCAACGCCGCGUGAGUGAUGAAGGUCUUCGGAUCGUAAAACUCUGUUAUUAGGGAAGAACAAAUGUGUAAGUAACUAUGCACGUCUUGACGGUACCUAAUCAGAAAGCCACGGCUAACUACGUG